AGAGUUUGAUCCUGGCUCAGGAUGAACGCUGGCGGCGUGCCUAAUACAUGCAAGUCGAACGCUUCACUUCGGUGAAGAGUGGCGAACGGGUGAGUAAUACAUAAGUAACCUGGCAUCUACAGGGGGAUAACUGAUGGAAACGUCAGCUAAGACCGCAUAGGUGUAGAGAUCGCAUGAACUCUAUAUGAAAAGUGCUACGGGACUGGUAGAUGAUGGACUUAUGGCGCAUUAGCUGGUUGGUAGGGUAACGGCCUACCAAGGCGACGAUGCGUAGCCGACCUGAGAGGGUGACCGGCCACACUGGGACUGAGACACGGCCCAGACUCCUACGGGAGGCAGCAGUAGGGAAUUUUCGGCAAUGGGGGAAACCCUGACCGAGCAACGCCGCGUGAAGGAAGAAGUAAUUCGUUAUGUAAACUUCUGUCAUAGAGGAAGAACGGUGGAUAUAGGGAAUGAUAUCCAAGUGACGGUACUCUAUAAGAAAGCCACGGCUAACUACGUGCCAGCAGCCGCGGUAAUACGUAGGUGGCGAGCGUUAUCCGGAAUUAUUGGGCGUAAAGAGGGAGCAGGCGGCACUAAGGGUCUGUGGUGAAAGAUCGAAGCUUAACUUCGGUAAGCCAUGGAAACCGUAGAGCUAGAGUGUGUGAGAGGAUCGUGGAAUUCCAUGUGUAGCGGUGAAAUGCGUAGAUAUAUGGAGGAACACCAGUGGCGAAGGCGACGAUCUGGCGCAUAACUGACGCUCAGUCCCGAAAGCGUGGGGAGCAAAUAGGAUUAGAUACCCUAGUAGUCCACGCCGUAAACGAUGAGUACUAAGUGUUGGGAGUCAAAUCUCAGUGCUGCAGUUAACGCAAUAAGUACUCCGCCUGAGUAGUACGUUCGCAAGAAUGAAACUCAAAGGAAUUGACGGGGGCCCGCACAAGCGGUGGAGCAUGUGGUUUAAUUCGAAGCAACGCGAAGAACCUUACCAAGUCUUGACAUCCCUCUGACCGUUCCUUAACCGGACCUUUCCUUCGGGACAGGGGAGACAGGUGGUGCAUGGUUGUCGUCAGCUCGUGUCGUGAGAUGUUGGGU
rnacentral:rRNA from 1 species